rnacentral:rRNA from 1 species
UACGUAGGGUGCAAGCGUUGUCCGGAAUUAUUGGGCGUAAAGAGCUCGUAGGCGGUUUGUCGCGUCUGCUGUGAAAACUCGGGGCUUAACUCCGGGCCUGCAGUGGGUACGGGCAGACUAGAGUGCGGUAGGGGAGACUGGAAUUCCUGGUGUAGCGGUGAAAUGCGCAGAUAAUCAGGAGGAACACCGGUGGCGAAGGCGGGUCUCUGGGGCCGAUACUGACGUGAGGAGCGAAAAGCGUGGGGAGCGAACGG